GGGGAAUAUUGGACAAUGGGCGAAAGCCUGAUCCAGCAAUGCCGCGUGAGUGAUGAAGGCCUUAGGGUUGUAAAGCUCUUUUACCAGGGAUGAUAAUGACAGUACCUGGAGAAUAAGCUCCGGCUAACUCCGUGCCAGCAGCCGCGGUAAUACGGAGGGAGCUAGCGUUGUUCGGAAUUACUGGGCGUAAAGCGUGCGUAGGCGGUUACUCAAGUCAGAGGUGAAAGCCCGGGGCUCAACCCCGGAACUGCCUUUGAAACUAGGUAACUAGAAUCUUGGAGAGGUCAGUGGAAUUCCGAGUGUAGAGGUGAAAUUCGUAGAUAUUCGGAAGAACACCAGUGGCGAAGGCGACUGACUGGACAAGCAUUGACGCUGAGGCACGAAAGCGUGGGGAGCAAAC
rnacentral:rRNA from 1 species